UAAAGGAAGAAAAACGCCACUUGGCGAACACGUCGUGUGGGAAAGACGAAGCCGAAGGGGGUAGAAGAAGCAGACGUAUAUAUGUGCGUGUGGCGGUGCGGCGCUCGUACUUGCUUUGUCAGCGAGUGUUCUGCCGUCGUGUCUGGAGACGGAGGAGUGUAUAUCGUAUCUCUUUUGUCAAAGAACGCAGGAGAGAGUGGCAGUGUUCUUUCUCUACCCAAGUCCAAGUUGGUGGCAGCCUGAGUACCGGAACCGGAGGCGAGAGCACGAUGACUGCGUGACGUGAGUGCGCCGUCGCCGUGGUUCGAAAGUCGUCUUUGUCCGCCGCCACCGCUUCUGCACCACGCACCGGUUCGGUAGCUGCCCGCUCCGCCGCGACUCCCGGUUGGACCUCAAGCGGACGAGGGUCUCGCUGACGUCGCGCUAGGUCCCGUGCCCCCCGACGAGGCGCGACUUGCCGCCGCACGACGACAGCGCCCGCAGGCACCGGUACUUGCGGAUGAUGGUCCGGUCCCCCUCCUUGAGCACCUUGACGAAGAAGUUGCGGUGGCCGUAGUAGUCGUAGUGGCUGGGGUCAGAUCCGUGAACGUUCAUACGUACUCGGGUCAGGUCCACCUAGCGACUUCGGCUCUUUUAUUCUACAAAGAUCCUAUAUACACAGACAGGGGAUCUUUCAAAUCGCACAAACAAAAGUGGUAGUCUUGACGGUAACAAGCUUAGUCCGUAUCGAAGUCACAAACUCACUAGUAUUCUACAGGUAGGAUACGAAAAAAGAAGCAAGGGUUACUUUAUAGUAAAGUCAACGGGACCA
rnacentral:rRNA from 1 species